rnacentral:rRNA from 1 species
UACGUAGGGUGCAAGCGUUGUCCGGAAUUAUUGGGCGUAAAAGAGCUCGUAGGCGGUCUGUUACGUCGGCUGUGAAAACCUGGGGCUCAACUCCGGGCCUGCAGCCGAUACGGGCAGACUAGAGUUCGGCAGGGGGAGACUGGAAUUCCUGGUGUAGCGGUGAAAUGCGCAGAUAUCAGGAGGAACACCGGUGGCGAAGGCGGGUCUCUGGGCCGAAACUGACGCU